GAUGAACGCUGGCGGCGUGCCUAAUACAUGCAAGUCGAGCGAACGGACGAGAAGCUUGCUUCUCUGAUGUUAGCGGCGGACGGGUGAGUAACACGUGGAUAACCUACCUAUAAGACUGGGAUAACUUCGGGAAACCGGAGCUAAUACCGGAUAAUAUUUUGAACCGCAUGGUUCAAAAGUGAAAGACGGUCUUGCUGUCACUUAUAGAUGGAUCCGCGCUGCAUUAGCUAGUUGGUAAGGUAACGGCUUACCAAGGCAACGAUGCAUAGCCGACCUGAGAGGGUGAUCGGCCACACUGGAACUGAGACACGGUCCAGACGCCUACGGGAGGCAGCAGUAGGGAAUCUUCCGCAAUGGGCGAAAGCCUGACGGAGCAGCGCCGCGUGAGUGAUGAAGGUCUUCGGAUCGUAAAACUCUGUUAUUAGGGAAGAACAUAUGUGUAAGUAACUGUGCACAUCUUGACGGUACCUAAUCAGAAAGCCACGGCUAACUACGUG
rnacentral:rRNA from 1 species